rnacentral:tRNA from 1 species
GCGCCCGUAGCUCAGCUGGAUAGAGCGCUGCCCUCCGAAGGCAGAGGUCGCAGGUUCGAAUCCUGUCGGGCGCGCCA